rnacentral:rRNA from 1 species
AUUGAACGCUGGCGGAAUGCUUUACACAUGCAAGUCGAACGGCAGCAUAGGUGCUUGCACCUGAUGGCGAGUGGCGAACGGGUGAGUAAUACAUCGGAACGUGCCCAGUCGUGGGGGAUAACGUAGCGAAAGUUACGCUAAUACCGCAUACGAUCUGAGGAUGAAAGCGGGGGACCGUAGGGCCUCGCGCGAUUGGAGCGGCCGAUGUCAGAUUAGGUAGUUGGUGAGGUAAAGGCUCACCAAGCCGACGAUCUGUAGCUGGUCUGAGAGGACGACCAGCCACACUGGGACUGAGACACGGCCCAGACUCCUACGGGAGGCAGCAGUGGGGAAUUUUGGACAAUGGACGCAAGUCUGAUCCAGCCAUUCCGCGUGCAGGACGAAGGCCUUCGGGUUGUAAACUGCUUUUGUACGGAACGAAAAAGCUCUUACUAAUACUAGGAGUCCAUGACGGUACCGUAAGAAUAAGCACCGGCUAACUACGUGCCAGCAGCCGCCGUAA